rnacentral:rRNA from 1 species
CAGUCGCCGCGGGAAUACGAGGGGUGCAGGCGUUAUUCGGAUUGAUUGGGUGUAAAGGGUGUGCAGACGGCUUAUCAAGUCACUUGUUAAACUCUUCGGCCUAACUGAAGGUCUGCAGGUGAUACUGAUGAGCUAGAGGGUGGAAGAGAGAAGUGGAAUUCCCGGAGUAGCGGUAAAAUGCGUAGAUCUCGAGAGGAACACCAAUGGCGAAGGCAGCUUCUUGGUCCAUUCCUGACGUUCAUACACGAAAGCGUGGGGAGCAAACAGGAUUAGAUACCCGCGUAGUCCCUGUCUCUUAUAC